GAGGAAAAGGAAACCAACCGGGAUUGCCUUAGUAACGGCGAGUGAAGCGGCAAAAGCUCAAAUUUGAAAUCUGGUACCUUCGGUGCCCGAGUUGUAAUUUGGAGAGGGCAACUUUGGGGCCGUUCCUUGUCUAUGUUCCUUGGAACAGGACGUCAUAGAGGGUGAGAAUCCCGUGUGGCGAGGAGUGCGGUUCUUUGUAAAGUGCCUUCGAAGAGUCGAGUUGUUUGGGAAUGCAGCUCUAAGUGGGUGGUAAAUUCCAUCUAAAGCUAAAUAUUGGCGAGAGACCGAUAGCGAACAAGUACAGUGAUGGAAAGAUGAAAAGAACUUUGAAAAGAGAGUGAAAAAGUACGUGAAAUUGUUGAAAGGGAAGGGCAUUUGAUCAGACAUGGUGUUUUGUGCCCUCUGCUCCUUGUGGGUAGGGGAAUCUCGCAUUUCACUGGGCCAGCAUCAGUUUUGGUGGCAGGAUAAAUCCAUAGGAAUGUAGCUUGCCUCGGUAAGUAUUAUAGCCUGUGGGAAUACUGCCAGCUGGGACUGAGGACUGCGAC
rnacentral:rRNA from 1 species